rnacentral:ncRNA from 1 species
UACCCCGGGGAUAACAGGCUUAUCUCCCCCAAGAGUUCACAUCGACGGGGAGGUUUGGCACCUCGAUGUCGGCUCAUCGCAUCCUGGAGCUGAAGCAGGUUCCAAGGGUUUGGCUGUUCGCCAAUUAAAGCGGUACGCGAGCUGGGUUCAGAACGUCGUGAGACAGUUCGGUCCCUAUCCGUCGCAGGCGAAAGAUACUUGAGAAGAGCUGUCCCCAGUACGAGAGGACCGGGAUGGACACACCGAUGGUGAAUCAGUUGUUCCACCAGGAGCAUAGCUGAGUAGCUAAGUGUGGAAAAGAUAAGCGCUGAAAGCAUCUAAGCGUGAAACAGACUUCAAGAUUAGGUAUCUCACUUUGUUAAGAAGGUAAGAUCCCUUAAAGAUGAUAAGGUAGAUAGGCCAGAGGUGUAAGUGUAGUAAUACAUUAAGCUAACUGGUACUAAUAGAUCGAGGGCUUAAUCAU